GAACGCUAUACGGUCUCCCACAGCGUUUGAUACAGGCUGGACAACUCCCCUAAGAGCUCUCAAAUUUCCAUGGAUACCAUCAACACACACAUACCUUCAAUGCACUGCUGUGGAACAAUCCAGCUGAGUCUAAACAUUCUUCACCUCAUAGGAGAAAAAAAAGUAUGAUAUCUAAGAAACUGCAGGUAAAAUAUAAUCUGGACCAUUGGAACAGUGAACAUAUGCUCCCAGGAAUACCUGUGUGAUAUGGAAAAUCAAAAGAGAAAUUUUCAGCAAGAUGCUGAUUUGGCAGUGAUGGAUUCAGAGAUUGGAACACUCCUAAAUUAUAUUGAUUUU